UUGGAGGGCAAGUCUGGUGCCAGCAGCCGCGGUAAUUCCAGCUCCAAUAGCGUAUAUUAAAGUUGUUGCAGUUAAAAAGCUCGUAGUUGAAUUUCGGGGUUAGUAGGUUGGUCAUGCCUCCGGUAUGUACUGGUCUCACUGAUUCCUCCUUCCUGAUGAGCCGUAAUGCCAUUAAUUUGGUGUUGCGGGGAAUUUGGACUGUUACUUUGAAAAAAUUAGAGUGUUUAAAGCAAGCUAACGCUUGAAUACAUUAGCAUGGAAUAAUGAAAUAGGACGUUCGAUCCUAUUUUGUUGGUUUCUAGGAUUGACGUAAUGAUUAAUAGGGAUAGUUGGGGGCAUUAGUAUUCAAUUGUCAGAGGUGAAAUUCUUGGAUUUAUUGAAGACUAACUACUGCGAAAGCAUUUGCCAAGGAUGUUUUCAUUAAUUAAGAACGAAAGUUAGGGGAUCGAAGACGAUCAGAUACCGUCGUAGUCUUAACCAUAAACUAUGCCGACUAGGGAUCGGAUGAUGUUAAUUUUUUAAUGACUCAUUCGGCGCCUUACGGGAAACCAAAGUGUUUGGGUUC
rnacentral:rRNA from 1 species